UCAGGUGAUCGGGCGGCCGCUGGAGCGAUCCAGAGGAAAGUCCGGGCUCCACGGAACACGGUGCCGGGUAAUUCCCGGCGGGGGUGACCCCAGGGACAGUGCCACAGAGAGCAGACCGCCGAUGGACCGAAAGGUCACAGGCAAGGGUGAAAGGGUGCGGCAAGAGCGCACCGCGCUUCCGGCAACGGCAAGCGGCAUGGCAAACCCCACCGGGAGCAAGACCGAAUAGGGGCAGCACGAGCAGCAAUGCUCAGGGCAGGAACCGGCCCCGCUGCCCGGGUUGGUUGCACGAGGCGGCUGGCGACAGCCGUCCCAGAUGAAUGGUCGCCCCCCGAAAGGGGACAGAACCCGGCUUACAGAUCACCUGACCAC
rnacentral:RNase_P_RNA from 1 species